rnacentral:rRNA from 1 species
AAAAGCUUUCUUUAAUUGAAUAAUUGAAUUUAAUUUUUUUAGUGCAAAAGCAAAAAUAAAAAUUAGGGACAAGAAGACCCUAUGAAUUUUUUUAUUAAAUUUUAUAAAACUUUAUAUAAAGUUUAAUUUAAUUGGGGUGAUGGAAAAAGAAUAAAUAUCUUUUUUUUAAAGAAAAUUGGUUCCGUUUUUAGCGAUUAAAUGAAAAAAAUACUCUAGGGAUAACAGCGUAAUAAUUUUGGAUAGUUCAUAUAGAUAAAAUAGUUUGCGACCUCGAUGUUGGAUUAGGAUUCUUUUUUGGUGAAGAAGUUAAAAAAAGAAGUUUGUUCAACUUAUAAUUUCCUACUUGAUCUGAGUUCAGACCGG